CAGCCGCCGCGGGAAAACGGAGGGUGCAAGCGUUAAUCGGAAUUACUGGGCGUAAAGCGCACGCAGGCGGUCUGACAAGUCAGAUGUGAAAUCCCCGGGCUUAACCUGGGAACUGCAUUUGAAACUGUCAGGCUGGAGUCUUGUAGAGGGGGGUGGAAUUCCAGGUGUAGCGGUGAAAUGCGUAGAGAUCUGGAGGAAUACCGGUGGCGAAGGCGGCCCCCUGGACAAAGACUGACGCUCAGGUGCGAAAGCGUGGGGAGCAAACAGGAUUAGAUACCCCGGUAGUACCUGUCUCUUAUAC
rnacentral:rRNA from 1 species